CUUACGGAGGCCUAGUGGUUAUAGCUUCCGCCUCGAAUGCGGGAGGUCGUGGGUUCCAUCACCGGUCGAGUCAUACUAAAGA